ACUGCUCAGUAACACGUGGCUAACCUGCCCUUAGGACGAGAAUAACCCCGGGAAACUGGGGCUAAUGCUCGAUAGGUGAAGAACUCUGGAAUGAGUCUUCACUUAAAAGAGUCUGCGUUAUGCUCGUAGAUUUCGCUUAAGGAUGGGGCCGCGACCGAUCAGGUUGUUGGUGAGGUAAUGGCUCACCAAGCCUUUUACCGGUGCGGGCCGUGAGAGCGGGAGCCCGGAGAUGGGCACUGAGACAAGGGCCCAGGCCCUACGGGGCGCAGCAGUCGCGAAAACUUUGCAAUACACGAAAGUGUGACAGGGCUAUCCCGAGUGCCAUCCGCUGAGGAAGGCUUUUACCCAGUCUAGAAAGCUGGGGGAAUAAGGAGAAGGCAAGUCUGGUGUCAGCCGCCGCGGUAAUACCAGCUCUCCGAGUGGUGUGGAUGUUUAUUGGGCCUAAAGCAUCCGUAGCUGGCUAAGUUAGUCCCCUGUUAAAUCCAACGAAUUAAUCGUUGGAUCGCGGGGGAUACUGCUUGGCUAGGGGACGAGAGAGGCAGACGGUAUUUCCGGGGUAGGGGUGAAAUCCUAUAAUCCCGGGAAGACCACCAGUGGCGAAGGCUGUCUGCUAGAACGCGCCCGACGGUGAGGGAUGAAAGCUGGGGGAGCGAACCGGAUUAGAUACCCGGGUAGUCCCAGCUGUAAACGAUGCAGGCUAGGUGUUUGGACGGCCACGUGCCGUUCUAGUGCCGCAGGGAAGCUGUUAAGCCUGCCGCCUGGGGAGUACGAUCGCAAGAUUGAAACUUAAAGGAAUUGGCGGGGGAG
rnacentral:rRNA from 1 species